GCCCUGCUCCAAGGCUAGAUGAAAUCUUCACUCUUGCCAGAGCCAUUCUCAAUAAACAUUUGCUGAAGAAAUGCUUGCUACCUGAAUGAAUGAUCAGAAGCCGGAAAAAUCAGCUUUCAAAAGGAGCUUAGGAACAAGCAGGACAAAUGGAAACACUGCCAUCAAUUUCAGAAGCCUUUCCAACAGAACUGCCAGAGCCUUCAGGCUUCUUUGGUGGGACAACGACGUGGCCAAGAAGUGGAAAGAUCCCUGGACAUUGGGAUCUAGACACAGAUGUGACACUAAAGUGCCGUGAGGCCUGGGAGAAAUCACCUAAUUGCUCAGGCCUCAGUUUCCUCCAUAGAGAGAGAAAAUCCCACCUCAAAGGAUCUGGAGAACUGGCCAGAGAUCACCCCAGAAGAGAGUACAGGAGCCAGGAUUUGGACGCAGGUCUCUCUGACUCAAAUCCUUUUCUCUUUCCCUUACUUCAUCCUCCCCCUCAUCUCCUGAAAAUUAGAAGCCGGAUCCUGGAAUACACACAGAAAACCCUCCACCCAUUUUAAGGAUACAUCAAGAUCAAAACUCAUUGAUAUUGUAAUCUUACUAGUUUGAACUUUAAAACAUUUUACUGCCAUAUGGGGACUGGCUUCAAAGA